GUUCUCUUUCUCAAAUUUAUUCAUCUCUCUCUAGUCUCUCGGUCUCCUGCACUCUUCCAGACGCAUUCUCUCUCUCAGUUUCCCUUCCGGCCUCCUUUCCUCUUCAUUCCAGGCUUUCCAGCCCCUAGCUUCUAAAUUUCAGAGUGCUAAUAUGGUAACGUGAAUUUGUUGUGGUAUGAAUUCUAUUGUCAUCAACUAGGUAACGUGAAUUUGUGAUGGUAUCAGACCCUAAGCUUAUGCCAAUCGUGAAUUUGUGAUGCAACAAGGCAAGGAAGUCAUUAAACAGACCGCCUAUUGGGCAAGUCCUGGACAAUCUCAUCUACAAUUACAGUCUGACAUUUUGUGGGAAGGGUUUGGCUUAGUAAGCCAAAAAGUUCUCUUCAAACUACACUUGUAUUUUAAAUUUUGGAUUUGUGAAGAAUUUGAAAUUAGUGAUAACAGCAAAGCGGCUUUCCAUUGGUUAUGAUAACCCAGAAUUGCAGUUACUGGGACUUUCU